GCCGGAGUGGCGGAAUUGGCAGACGCGCUAGCUUGAGGGGCUAGUGCCCAAUACGGGCGUGGGGGUUCAAGUCCCCCCCCUCCGACACCA
rnacentral:tRNA from 1 species